GGUUCCGUAGCUCAAGGGAUAGAGCACCGCGUUGCGGACGCGGAGGUUCGAGGUUCGAGUCCUCGCGGGACCGCCA
rnacentral:tRNA from 1 species